rnacentral:rRNA from 1 species
UACGUAGGGUGCGAGCGUUGUCCGGAAUUAUUGGGCGUAAAGAGCUCGUAGGCGGUCUGUCGCGUCGGUCGUGAAAACUUGGGGCUUAACCCCGAGCUUGCGGUCGAUACGGGCAUGACUGGAGUUCGGCAGGGGAGACUGGAAUUCCUGGUGUAGCGGUGAAAUGCGCAGAUAUCAGGAGGAACACCGGUGGCGAAGGCGGGUCUCUGGCCCGAUACUGACGCUGAGGCACGAAAGCGUGGGGAGCAAACAGG